AUGGGAGGCCUCUGCUCAAAAGUCUCUGCAGUAGACAAGUCGCCGAGCGACACCGCGCUCGGCAGGAACCAGGUAUUCGAUCAUGAGCCGGUGGUGGCGUUGAAGGAGGAGAAGAAGUCGGUGUCCGAAGAGGCCGCGGCGAAGAGGGUGGAAGAGCAGCAGCAGCAGCAGCAGUCUUUCUCGUUCUUGGAGAGCGUCGUGCCCGGCCUUGCUGUGCAUAAUGGUGCAGAUGCUGAGCACACAGGGUCCAGGACACCACAACUGGCUCGGACACUGUCGCAAAAGGCUGGUCUGGGCAAGGCCAAGGUUUCGGAAAUGAGCACAAUUUUAGGUAGAGCUAGCACUGUUGGGCUUGGGAAAGCUGUGGAGGUUCUAGACACACUUGGUAGUAGCAUGGCAAGUUUAAAUGCUAGCAGUGGCUUUGUGUCAAGUUCUGGAGCAAAGGGAAAUAAAAUAUCUAUUUUGGCUUUUGAGGUGGCAAAUACAAUAGUUAAGGGUUCCAAUCUAAUGCGUUCUCUGUCAAAUUCUAACAUAAAGCAUAUAAAAGAAGUGGUGCUUCACUCAGAAGGUGUCCAACACCUGAUAUCCAAAGAUAUGGAUGAACUACUUGAGAUUGCAGCCGCUGACAAAAGGGAAGAGUUAGAUGUAUUCUCAAAAGAGAUUAUUCGUUUUGGCAAUCGUUGCAAGGAUACUCAGUGGCACAACUUGGACCGCUACUUUGAAAAGUUGGCGUCAGAAAGAACUUCCCAGUAUUCCAUGAAACGAGAUGCCGAGACCGUGAUGCAGCAGUUGAUAAUUUGUGUUCAGUAUACAGCUGAAUUAUAUCAUGAGUUGCAUGCAUUGGAUAGGUUUGAGCAAGACUAUCGUCGUAAACAUCAAGAACAUGAUGACUUGAGUUUAACAGAUGACAGUCUGCAUAUACUAAAGCAGGAAGUGAAGAGCCAAAGCAAGCAUGUUAAAAGUUUGAAAAGAAAGUCACUUUGGUCCAAGAAUUUGGAAGAGGUGAUUGAAAAGCUUGUAGACAUCGUCCACUUCUUAGAUCUGGAGAUUUACGAUGCCUUUGGUCAUGCUGAGAGUGAAGAACCACAAGAACCCGUGAAACGCCAUAAGAGAUUGGGACCAGCAGGCCUUGCGCUCCAUUAUGCAAAUAUCAUCAAUCAGAUUGACACACUUGUUUCCCGGUCAAGUUCUAUCUCUUCAAACACGAGGGAUAAUCUAUACCAAGGUUUGCCGCCUACCGUCAAAUCUGCUCUCCGGCCUAAGCUACAAUCUUUUGAGAUAAAAGAAGAGCUUACGGUUUCUCAAAUCAAAGCUGAAAUGGAGAAAACUUUGCGAUGGCUUGUCCCUAUUGCCCAUAAUACGACUAAGGCACACCACGGCUUUGGUUGGGUUGGAGAGUGGGCAAAUACAGGAUCUGAGCUGAGCUGCAAGCUAUCAGGACAGAUGGACUUGACCCGGAUCGAGACACUGUAUAAUGCUGAGAAGGACAAGACUGAAGCACAUAUCCUUGAGCUUGUUGUGUGGCUUCAUCAUCUCAUCAGUAAAUCCAGAGCAGCCAAUGGAGAUAUAAGGUCUCCUAUCAAAUCUCCUGUCCGUUCACCGACACAAAAGGGUCAUACAAUUAGGUUGCAGCUGGACCCAGCGAACAAUUCAUCGCCGAUUCUCACACCAGAGGAUCAGGAUAUGCUGAGGUGUGUCAAGUACAGGAAAUUCGUCCCUGGGAUAAGCAAAAGUCAAGAAUUCGACACGAAGUCAAGGCACGACAAACAUAGCAGAUUGUGCAAGAGCAAUAGCCAUUCUCCAACCAGUGGAAACAGGAAAGAUCUGCUAUCAUUUAGGAGGUUCUCCAUGCUCCCUGUCAUAGACUUCGAGAUUGAUAGGACAAAGGCUUUGGAUUUAAUUGACAGGCUUGAUGGUCUGGAAAUUCAGUCAGGAAUCAACUGA
rnacentral:rRNA from 1 species